GCGAUCUCGCUCUGGGGUAUUUCUUCAUGAUAUGUGAGCUUUAUUUGCUUCGGUAAAUAUGACUAGCAUAUUCAAAUUGACUUUUGGAGGUUUUCUCAUGCAAGCGAACGGAACAGUAAAAUGGUUUAACGCAGAAAAAGGUUACGGCUUCAUUCAAGUAGAAGGCGGAGACGACGUAUUCGUACACUACAGCGCAAUCCAAGGCGACGGCUUCAAAACUUUGGAAGAAGGCCAGCGCGUUGAGUUCAACAUCGUAACAGGCAACCGCGGUCCUCAAGCUGAGAACGUAGUAAAACUGUAAGUCUCCUUUAUAAAAGAAACUGUCCGUCAGCGGGCAGUUUCUUUU
rnacentral:sRNA from 1 species